rnacentral:rRNA from 1 species
CCUACGGGAGGCAGCAGUAGGGAAUCUUCCACAAUGGGCGAAAGCCUGAUGGAGCAACGCCGCGUGGGUGAAGAAGGUCUUCGGAUCGUAAAACCCUGUUGUUAGAGAAGAAAGUGCGUGAGAGUAACUGUUCACGUUUCGACGGUAUCUAACCAGAAAGCCACGGCUAACUACGGGCCAGCAGCCGCGGUAAUACGUAGGUGGCAAGCGUUAUCCGGAUUUAUUGGGCGUAAAGGGAACGCAGGCGGGCUUUUAAGUCUGAUGUGAAAGCCUUCGGCUUAACCGGAGUAGUGCAUUGGAAACUGGGAGACUUGAGUGCAGAAGAGGAGAGUGGAACUCCAUGUGUAGCGGUGAAAUGCGUAGAUAUAUGGAAGAACACCAGUGGCGAAAGCGGCUUUCUGGUCUGUAACUGACGCUGAGGUUCGAAAGCGUGGGUAGCAAACAGGAUUAGAUACCCCUGUAGUC